CAGCUGUUUUCUACAAGCUUCUGCUUUUGCACCUGCUCCCAGUGCUGCCGGUCCUGUGGAAAGUCCAGCCGCUGCCCAGUUUCGAUGGGAAGAAUGGGAGGAAGGAAGGAAGUGCUUCUUCAGGCCCAUCUGACAGGUGUGGGGACCCAGUGAGCACCGGCUGGCUUCCCCUCCCUCCCCUUUUAUUGAUAGGAACUCUCCAGUCCUGCCGUGAAGAGGUAAAACUAGCAUCACAGUGUCAUUUUGAGGUUAUUUAUACACCCACAGUGCUCGUGGCUAGGGUGUGGCCCUGAGUAUGAAGUUCAUCAAUUGAACUCUGAUGAGGCUGCCUGACCACUUCCCCCAAAUUAGUUAUUUUCACCGCAGAGAAGCGCAGGUGCAUGACUUCCUGUGCCGAGAUGACUGGCCUAGUGGUGAUGACUCAGUGGCAUGUGUGGUGGUGAUCUGACACAGCCAGUGCCGGCUGGGGCCCUGGGGAAGGUCUCUAACCACAAGCAGGCUGGGCUGGGGCUGCGUGUCCCCGGAGCUCCCAGCCCACCAGUCUCAGGCACCCCUCACAGAGCUGGGACUCCUGGACCCCAAUGGAGCAACAGCCACUUACAGUUGGACUCAGCACAACGUCUCAAUCCUUUGGAGUUCGGCCAGGCAUGGCUGCCCUUCUGUUCUGUUUCCUGCUGAUCUUCAUGCAACAGCUGCUUUACUCUCAGCCGUCUUCAAAAACCCCAGCCCCGCCAAGUUCUUCCAGAUGAUUCUGUUGCCUGGAUUAAUUUAAGCAUCAUUUCCUCCUGAUGACGCAGCAAAAUGGAGAGCCUCGUGCUCCAGAGCACAAAGUCUGCAGAAAAUGUUGGAGUGUAUUAACAUCAACCUCAGUAUUUGCUUUUUCGUGAUACUUCAUCACCUUCUCUUACCCCUUUUAAUAUGGUCACAUCAUUCACGUGGGUUUAAGGCCCAGUUUCUGGGCAGGACAGCCACGAGGCCUCACCCUGUCAUCACAGAGUUCGUGAAGUCAUCUGGUUGUGGCUGGGACGCAGCCUCCAGCGGUCCCUAAGCAA
rnacentral:lncRNA from 1 species